rnacentral:rRNA from 1 species
CGUAGUAAUAAAUUAACAAAACUAAUACACCUUGGCGGUCAUACUAAAUUAAAGAAACUCGCUUAAUAACCGAUAACCCCCGAUAACUUUAACUUAAUUAAUAAGUUCAUAUACCGCCGUUACAGAAUAAUAAUAACUAUAAUUCUCCACAUUUAUAAUUAAUAAAAAAUCAGGUCAAGGUGUGGCAACAUUUAAGCAUAAGUAAGUUACACUAAAAAAAAAUUAAGGAUUAAAUUUUAACAUAAAAACAUGAAAGAGAAAUUUAUCAGUACAUAAACAAUUAAAAUUUACAAUAGAAAU